CCCACGAGCAAGCACUCUAAGGCUUAAAGACAAAUGCCACAAAAGAAAAUGCAUAAGAGAGUACUUAAAUACAGCUCAAAAAAAGGAAUGACACUAUAGAAAUACUUACAGCAUGUUUAGUUGAAGGUAAUGAUUAUGCCAAGCAGAGAUUUUUGAGGAUUUCUAUUCAUUACUUAAAUAAUCCUCUUUUACCCUUACCAAAAUUUCACCUCAAAAACACUCUCAAUCGGCAACCAUUUCCCGUAGUCUUCGACUCCGGCAUUCCUCCCCUUCAUCCAAGAGCCUUGAAGAAGCAGAGUAUCUCGACGUUCUCACUAAAACUGGUAAAAAAUCGGCGUUUCCAAGCCCAGGCGCGUCCCUUCAUUCUUGUCCAUUUCUGGAUUAUCUGUUUUUGAUCUUUCAACAUAAAUGAUUACUUUACAACCGGCUCUUUUCUUUAUUUUCUAUACUGUUUGUUGCUUACUCUUAGCAGAAAUCAUGUUUUGCAGCUUCUGUAAAUUGGGUUUGUUAUUUGCAGCUUCUGUAAAUUGGGUUUGUUAGAACCUUUGAGAUUAGUUAAGCUGGUUCCUUGUUAUUUUCAUUUUUGUUGAUUUGCUGAUUUUGGUAGUAAUAGCUUAAUUUGAAGCUGAAGGUUUUGGUCUCUUUGAAACCCUUUGUUGCAGAUCUCACACACAAAUCUAUUUCUAGCCAUUAGUGUUUUAGGUGACAAAGCUAUCACUUCUGCAUCUGGGUCUGAUUCAAAACAAAAGUCUUAGUUAAGAAAACAAAUAAAAAAAUAAAAGUAAUAAAAGUAACGGUGUUUUAAGAUAAGGGUUGUGAAGUUUGAACCCAAACAAACAUAGAUUGCCUGGUUGGUUCCUCUUUCUCUUAACUGGUUGAGCUUGAGCUGGUGGGUUACUAAAGUACUGUUGAGAAUAGUCGGUUCCACCAGCAGCUGAAGAAACACUGGCUUCACCAGAUGCACAAGUCAAUUUAGACAUAUUCUCUUCCAAAACUUCUUAUUGUUGUUGGUGGACUAUAUAACCUUUCAUAUCAUCUUCUCUUAAAUAACCAUGGAUCUUGGUUACAGAAAAUCCAUAGAUAAAAAACAAAAACCUUAGGUGAUAAAAGAGAAAAAGGAAAUAUAGAUACUAGUUAUGGACUCAAGUAGCAUGAAUAAAAUUAAAAAUAUAUUUUGCAUAAACUUUUAUAUUAGAUUUCACAUUGAUUUUGUUAUGCAUCUUAGUAAUAAUUCACUCAUAUAGUAGUAAAAGUACUCUUUUGUUUAAUUUCCAGUUUCUUUUAUAUUUAGACAUUUUACCCCUGGGUUUAAUUCUAAGCCUCCAUAACUUGUUUCAUUAUCCCUAGGCCAAAAAGAAAGAAAAGCUAUUUCUUUUAUCUACCUAGCCAAAAAAAUCUAUGGGAACAAAACGAAAAUGUGGAAGCAUGCUUAAUUUGUUUAUAUACAGAAAAACAAAAUAACAAGCUUUGAUUUGAUAGCCAUUUGCUGCAUGAUUACUGAUAAGUAGAUCUAUAGAGCACUUUUUUUAGAAAGAUUUUUUAUUAUGUCAUCUUAUUAGUUUAAUUUCAAAUUUGUGUUAUUGGAAAAAAAGAUUAAACAAAUGAAAUUGAGUUUAUUCUGUAUUGACAAAGUCAGCUGUCGGUUUAUUCAUUUUCUCUAACCUAAAUUUUGCAGUCUUAAGCAGCUCAUUUCUAUGCGUAUUAAAUCGGUAACAAAACCGGCAUUUCCAAGCCCAG